rnacentral:rRNA from 1 species
GACGAACGCUGGCGGCGUGCCUAAUACAUGCAAGUCGAACGCAGUGGGGACGGGUGAGUAACACGUGGGUAACCUCCCAUCAGAGGGGAUAACACUUGGAAACAAGUGCUAAACCGCUACUGAUGGAUGGACCGGCGGUGCAUUAGCUGGUUGGUGAGGUAACGGCUCACCAAGGCGACGAUGCCUAGCCGACCUGAGAGGGUGAUCAGCCACACUGGAACUGAGACACGGCCCAGACUCCUACGGGAGGCAGCAGUAGGGAAUCUUGGGCAAUGGGGGAAAGUCUGAUCCAGCAAUGCCGCGUGAGUGAAGAAGGUUUUCGGGUCGUAAAGCUCUGUUGUUAGAGAAGCGUUAUCUAACCAGGAAGCCACGGCUAACUCCGUGCCAGCAGCCGCGGUAAUUC